rnacentral:tRNA from 1 species
GGCCCGGCAUUCGAAGGUUCGAAUCCUUCUGUCCCAG